rnacentral:rRNA from 1 species
CAAUAGCGUAUAUUAAAGUUGUUGCAGUUAAAAAGCUCGUAGUUGAAUUUCUGGGCGGCCCGCCGGUCUUCCAUGUGUUGUACUGGGCGGCGCCGGCCAUCCUUGUGGAGAGGGCUCGCAUUUGGUUGCGUGUCGGAUCUGCAUCAUUUACUGUGAAAAAAUUAGAGUGUUUGAAGCAGGCUGUCGCUUGAAUACAUUAGCAUGGAAUAAUAAGAUAGGACUUCGGUCUAUUUUGUUGGUUGCGAACCGAGGUAAUGAUUAAUAGGGAUAGUUGGGGGUAUUCAUAUUUAAUUGUCAGAGGUGAAAUUCUUGGAUUUAUGAAAGAUGAACAACUGCGAAAGCAUUUACCAAGGAUGUUUUCAUUAA